rnacentral:misc_RNA from 1 species
AACUUUUGACAAUGGAUCUCUUGGCUCUCGCAUCGAUGAAGAACGCAGCGAAAUGCGAUACUUAAUGUGAAUUGCAGAAUUCAGUGAAUCAUCGAAUCUUUGAACGCACCUUGCGCCCCUUGGAAUUACGAGGGGCACACCCGCUUGAGUGUCGUGAACAUCCUUCAACCUUUCUUGGUUUCUUAACCGGGGAAGGCUUGGACUUUGGGGGUCUUUCAUUGCUGGCCUCUUUGAAGCCAGCUCCUCCUAAAUGGAUUAGUGUGGUCUGCUUUGCCGAUCCUUGACGUGAUAAGAUGUUUCUACGUCUUGGGUUUCGCACUGUCGCUUUAGACCCCGCUUCUAACCGUCUUGCAUUCAAGACAGAGUUUUAAACCUUGACCUCAAAUCGGGUGAGACUACCCGCUGAACUUAAGCAUAUCAAUAAGCGGAGGCU